rnacentral:rRNA from 1 species
AAGUUCCUUCGGGAAUGGAUUAGUGGCGAACGGGUGAGGAACACGUGAGAAACCUGCCUUUCAUUCUGGGAUAACACCGGGAAACCGGUGCUAAUACCGGAUACUCCGUCUUGGCGGCAUCGCCGAGCCGGGAAAAAAUUUUGAUGAAAGAUGGUCUCGCGGCCUAUCAGGUAGUUGGUGAGGUAAUGGCUCACCAAGGCGACGACGGGUAGCCGGCCUGAGAGGGCGACCGGCCACACUGGGACUGAGACACGGCCCAGACUCCUACGGGAGGCAGCAGUAGGGAAUAUUGGGCAAUGGGCGCAAGCCUGACCCAGCGACGCCGCGUGAGGGAUGAAGGUCUUCGGAUUGUAAACCUCUUUCAGUAGGGAAGAAGCGAAAGUGACGGUACCUAAAGAAGAAGCACCGGCUAACUAUGUGCCAGCAGCCGCGGUAAUACAUAGGGUGCAAGCGUUGUCCGGAAUUAUUGGGCGUAAAGAGCUCGUAGGUCGUUUGUCGCGUCGAUUGUGAAAAUCUGAGGCUCAACCUCAGACCUGCAGUCGAUACGGGCAAACUAGAGUGUGGUAGGGGAGACUGGAAUUCCUGGUGUAGCGGUGGAAUGCGCAGAUAUCAGGAGGAACACCAAUGGCGAAGGCAGGUCUCUGGGCCAUAACUGACACUGAGGAGCGAAAGUGCGGGGAGCGAACAGGAUUAGAUACCCUGGUAGUCCGCACCGUAAACGGUGGGCACUAGUUGUGGGAACCUUCCACGGUUUCCGCGACGCAGCAAACGCAUUAAGUGCCCCGCCUGGGGAGUACGAUCGCAAGAUUAA